GCGAAAGUGAUAAGUAAUCCACCUGGGGAGUACGAUCGCAAGGUUGAACUCAAAGGAAUUGACGGGGGCCCGCACAAUCGGUGGAGCAUGUGGUUUAAUUCGAUGAUACGCGAGGAACCUUACCAGGGCUUAAAUGCAGAACGACAGAGGUGGAAACACCUCCUUCUUCGGACGGUCUGCAAGGUGCUGCAUGGUUGUCGUCAGCUCGUGCUGUGAAGUGUCGGGUUAAGUCCCAUAACGAGCGCAACCCCUAUUUCUAGUUGCCAGCGGUUCGGCCGGGGACUCUAGAGAAACUGCCAGCGUAAGCUGUGAGGAAGGUGGGGAUGACGUCAAAUCAUCACGGCCCUUACGUCCUGGGCCACACACGUGCUACAAUGGUGAGGACAGAGAGUCGCCAACCCGCGAGGGUGAGCUAAUCUUCAAACCUCAUCUCAGUUCGGAUCGAAGUCUGCAACUCGACUUCGUGAAGUUGGAAUCGCUAGUAAUCGCAGAUCAGCCAUGCUGCGGUGAAUACGUUCCCGGGCCUUGUACACACCGCCCGUCAAGCCAUGGAAGCUGGGGGCGCCUGAAGUCGGUUACCGCAAGGAGCUGCCUAGGGCGAAACUAGUAACUGGGGCUAAGUCGUAACAAGGUAGCC
rnacentral:rRNA from 1 species